rnacentral:rRNA from 1 species
AUACGUAGGGGGCGAGCGUUGUCCGGAAUGAUUGGGCGUAAAGGGCGCGUAGGCGGCCCGGUAAGUCUGGAGUGAAAGUCCUGUUUUUAAGAUGGGAAUUGCUUUGGAUACUGUCGGGCUUGAGUGCAGGAGAGGUAAGUGGAAUUCCCAGUGUAGCGGUUAAGUGCGUAGAGAUUGGGAGGAACACCAGUGGCGAAGGCGACUUACUGGACUGUAACUGACGCUGAGGCGCGAAAGUGUGGGGAGCAAACAGGAUUAGAUACCCUGGUAGUCCACACUGUAAACGAUGAAUGCUAGGUGUAGGGGGUAUCGACCCCUUCUGUGCCGCAGUCAACACAAUAAGCAUUCCGCCUGGGGAGUACGGCCGCAAGGUUGAAACUCAAAGGAAUUGACGGGG